rnacentral:sRNA from 1 species
ACUUUUCCACUUCCCUACGCUCUGUCGGCAGUCUCGCGGGAUUUCCGCCUCUCGCGGGAGUUAUUUGAAUGCCAGGGCGGUAACGACUCCCUAGGCGCCUGGGGCCCUCUGACAAGAAACUCUAGGGGACACCGCGGAGACCUCUGCCUCUGAGCUGGUGGGCGGGCCGGAUGUAGCCGAGCGCGGACAGGGCUAGUCCGGACAGAGUCCCAGAGCCAUGGGAGCGAAAAGAGACUGCUGCGGAUUAAGGAGGCCUUUCGGUUGGCGCAGCAGCCACACCACAACCAGGCGAAGCAGGUAGUGGCGCUGAAUCGCUCCUGCCGCGGGGUAAGCGCUCCCGGCCCGCGCCCGCCCCAGCCCCGACCUGGCGGGGCCAGGACGCUGGUUUAUACACUCCAAGAAACUUGUGAUACUUUCUCACUACAUGGUGCAAACAGCUGAGUCAAGUUGUCCCUGAGAGUAGCCACCUUUCCCUCAGGCCAUACACAUGGAACCAUUCUUUCUCCCUACAAGUCAGCCCAUAAUAGAGCCUCUGGUUGAAAAUCAAGAUUUUGGUGUUCACUUGGCAAUAUUUACUAAGAGGUAAAUGACG